rnacentral:sRNA from 1 species
GCCUGGCGUGGUGGCACACACCUGUGAUCCUAGCUACAUGGGAGGCUGAAGCAGGAGGAUCACUCAAACCCAGGAGGUCAAGGCUGCAGUGAGCCAUGUUUGCACCACUCCACUCCAACCUAGUCAACAGUGAGACCCUGUCUCAAAAAAAAAAAAAAAUUGGUCCUAGCGUGGUGGUGUGGGCCUAUAGCAAGGAGAUCACUUGAGCCCAGGAGUUCAAGGCUGCAGUGAGCUAUGAUCACAGCACUGCACUCCAGCCUGGGUGACAGAGUGAGACCCUGUCUCU